UACACUUAAUUAGUGCCCAUGAAUUUUAAGCUUCCAUUGCUCUAUAUUUUUAUCACUUAUUAUGCUCUAUCAAUUUAUAACAAAGCCCAGUUUUCAGAUUUUCAAAAUGUUCAUAAAACAAAAUGCAAAAAUAAAUUUGAAUCAUAUCUUUAAUAUUUUCUUCCCCACAGAUUCUGUGACCAUGCUUACAGAAGGUUACAAUGACAGCAUUAAUAUAACUACAAGGUUCCAACUACAAGCAUUAACCUAACUACACCAGAAGUAUGGACUUUUCAGUUAAGUACUCCUGGAUACACAAACUAGAGUCAGCUACUGAAGUAAUCUUCAAGAGAGUAUCCUGGUAUAAAAUGUACACUCUUAAAUUAUGGAAAAGUCAUUUUGAGUUUAGUAAGUGGCUAGGGAGAAUCAGUCUUCACAAAGAUGACCUUCAGCUAGUACUAUGUCUGUGAUUAAUGCUACAAAAAAGAUUCUAUUUGACAUAAAGAAAACUGCAUUCAGCCUGCUAAUACAGAUGAGAAACCAAUCAACAUGCAAGUAGUGAUCACACUUGAUCUUAGGCAAAAGGCUGAAAAACAAUAGCUAUCCCACUACGGACUGAAAACUGUACAAAUUGUGAGGUGAAAUAAACCUUUCUUCCCCUAACUUUGGGUGUCCAGCAUAUUGCAAGUAACUAAGGCAGAUGGCAACUAAACAUCUGCAGCUAGAAGUAAAAAAUGAUUAAAAGUGUUAUUAUAAAUAAGAUCUAAAAUUU